CUGUAAGGUGUUUGACUUGGUACCGCACAACAUUUUGAUUACACAAUUAGAUGUAAAAUUAACAUGGCAUACAUUAAAUGGAUUAAAAACUGGCUAACUGAUAGGUCUCAAAAUGUAACUAUAAAUGGAGAAUUGUCAUCAAGCUGGUCUAUUUCCAGUGGGGUCUCCCGCAGGGAUCGGUUCUUGGCCCUACACUAUUUAAUAUUUUUAUCAAUGAUCUAGAAGAAAUAAUAAAAUAAUCACUAAUAAAAUUUGCAGAUGACACAAAAAUUAGGGGAGUGGUAAAUAAUGAAGAGGACAGGUCACUGGUUCAGCGUGGUCUGGAUUGCUUGGUAAACUGGGUUCAAGUGAACAGUAUGCAUUUUAAUACAGCUAAAUAUAAAUGCAUACAUUUAGGAACAAGAAUGUCAGUGUGAUGGGGCGCCUGCCCCACACUGGGCUCUAAGGGAUUAAUAGAGCCCUAGGUAGGCUGCAUAGGAGGCAGCCAAUCAGAGAAGGGCUGAAGGGAGGAGCUAAUCAGGGUCAAGCAUUCCCAUAUAAAAAGGGAGCUGCAGAGCAGAGAGGAGUUCUCUGCUGGGAGUCCAGGGAGGAAGAUCUGUGUCUCUGGAAGGUUGAGAGAACUGCCAGCACUCUGGACAGAGCAGUGCUGCUAGCAGGGACCAGGGGAGUUAGAGACAGCUCCUGGCUCACUGCUGAGGUUUGCAGGCUGAGGCCCUGAGGCAAGGGCAAAGAGGAUGCUGGGGCCACGAGGAAGUGGCCAGAAAAUUUGCUGCAGUAGCCACUAAGGGAAGUGGCUGUGAACAGUGGACUGCUGGUCCCCCAGAAGGGGAGAGCACAGUGUGCGGCAUGGCCGGAGGGCUGUGUCGCUGAAGAGGAUGCCGCGGUCCUUGGAGAGACGCGGGUCCUAGAUCAGGAGUGAUGGCGGCGAGGCACCACCUGAAGAUCUAAUUCCCAUGACAGCCGGCAGGAGGCGCAAGAGUGUUCCAUCAGAACUGGGAAAAAUUACCCAAAUGCUAAGCAAAAUAUCUGGAAGCUAUGCAGGCAGAUUUUGAAAAGAAAUCUGCCAUUGACUUGACACGCCCUGGCACGUACUGAUGCAUUUGUUCAUGUCUGGAUUGCGAACGCCGAAGUACCCCAGCGGACAGGAUGGCAGGCAGAUCCCGAUCUGUCGGAUGUCGUUCCUCUCCAGCAGUAUGAAGAGUUUGGGGGAACAUUUCAGGCACCCGUUGAACUCAGAGCACAGGUCACAGCCUUUCGCGCAGCCCUGGCUCACCUCGGUACUGACUGAAAAGGCAAGAGAGAUACCCGCAGGUUAACAAACACAUUGCAGAGCAGCAAGAUUGUCCAGGGAACUGGCUGUAACAACAGCAGCUUGCUACACGGCCCACUCUCGCGCUGGCUUCCAUCUGCUAUUCAGGACAGCAGGCCAGAUGUGGCUCCAGAAUGAACAUUUCAGACAGGAGUGUUCCCGAGCUCCAGCUUUAGAUCUGCCCAGGCUCUGUGGUGAAACACAUGGCAGAGUUACUAGGUGUGACAUCGCAGUAUGGAUGGCGCCUUGGCCGCACCAACAUGUGGACAAUAGGGGAAAUGUAGAAGAAUUAUGAUUAAAUGACGGGAGAGGAGGAUGUUCCAGUGGGUGUCAACAGGUACAAAUCUGUCCAACAUGGGAGUUGUCAGAAAGAAGAGAUUACAGGAAAACCCUUCGCUAUGCGUGUUCCUGAGCUAACCCAAUCUGUCUUCUGUUUGGUGAAACCCGCUUCAUAUCAGCCUGUCAAACCCCAACCUUUCACCACCCCAAGCCAACCUUCAGCAGAGCUGUGCCUCCCUGGCCAAAUGCAACCUCAUACCAGUGAGAAUGUAACCUGAAAAGUGCAAGCCCAUCAUUAAUUUGGUCAGGAUUCAAUGCUAAACUUCCAAUGGAUAACAGAAGAUGGGACACUCUGGGAGCCAAGAGAAGCCCCCUGAGAUGAGGGAAUCAGGCAGAGUCCUAUUGUCCCAUCUAAUCUGAUGUUCCUUCUAAGCAGACGUUACUGUUGCUAAGUCAGGGAUGGGGUGGAGAGGAUGGAGUGUGAGCACUGACACAUGCCCGGAGAUAUAAUGGUUUAGGUACAUGCCCCUGGAGAACCCAGAUUCAAAUCCCAGCAGGAGAUAAACUGGGUCCACCUCUCCGCAAUGUUCAUGUGUCUUUAGGACAAAACUACUGGCUAAUUUGGCCGUUUCUGCUGAAGAGGAAAACCAGGACUCGGCAUAGCAAGAGCUGCUGCAGGUCGGGCUGCUGGUGGAGGAGCAGAGCUGGGGAGGAGAGGGGAAAUGCAGAGCAUGCUGCAGCUCAGGGUGGAGGUACAUCAGCAGAGCUGGACAGGGAAUGCUUGGAUAGGGUCUGCCUUGACUCUCCUCCCUGUAGUAGCUUCUCAUUUGAAAUUCGCCCCAAAAGCUCCCAUUUUAACCGGGAUUGACUCUGCCCAGGUUUUGUGCUGGAACGUUCUCAGAGUCACAAGACAUCCUUCCUGCCAGAAACGUGACCCAGCUCAAGCUGACUCCAGAAGAACAUUUGAAAUCUCCAGUUCCAAAAGCCCCCAUGAAGAGAGCUGAGUGUUUCUUGUCAGCAAGCAGCCCUGUGUCUUUGGGCCUAAUAGCUCACACAGCAUCUCAUGGGAGAUGGCACGAAUGAUCCUGCAGCUUCGAGAUGGUUUAUUGCUAUGUGAAAUGCUCCCUAGCGCUGGCUCUUAGGUAAGAAUGGACCCUUUAUUGGCCAAUCAGCAGCAUCAUAGAAAAAAAUCCCUCUCUCAGGAGACCUGUCAUUAAUAUUUGAUGCAAUGAGUGAGCUCAUGCUCCAGCUUAAACGCUGCCUAGAGAAAAUGAGUCAAACCCAGAUAAAUAAUUGAUUGCUCCUGUGGCCAUUACAAGCGCUGUUGUCCUUUCUGGCCAAGACACAUCUGUUCCUGAGGGCCCUUCCAAGCCUGGCCUGCAUCUUCCUCAGUGGGACACAAGCAUCUGUCAACUCAGCAAGAUUUAGUAAGCUCCUUGAGCUAAUGCGGCCCAGCAUUCUCGGGAUCCCGGCUUCCCUGGUCAGCAUUGGCCUUCAUAUGUGCUAAUGUGAGAAAAACAUAUUUGGCUGUGAGAAGGUAACAUUUGCAAAACUCCUCUGUGUCCAACUUGCAGCACAAGGGAAAGAGACUUCAAGGAUUCCCCAUUAUUCCUCUCGCACCCUUCCAACCCAGGAGGGCUGCAUGCACAGCUCACGCCAGAGCCUAUCCCAUGAUGCUCCAGGACCGGCACCCAGACAGCACGUUGCUGAGUGCUCGAUAAAUAUCCGGAUUAGAUAUUCAGAGAGACGGGCUCUCUCCUUCCCUGCCCCCUUCCCCCGGGCUGAGCAGGCUAGAAGAGAUGACCAAGGAGCAAGUGAUUUGAACUUGCAGCCCGGCAUCGCACAGCCACUAUUCUCAGCCUCGUUUCAGAUGCAACUGCAGCAAUAUCUGGGACGAGUGCGAUUGCUUAAUACCCAGAAGAGAUGGAGUCUCGCACUCUGUCUUGGUCCAUACGGAUGCAUCGGUGGAUGGAAUCACGCGCCCAAAUCUACUUGGGUGGGGAGGGAGUGGGGCUGUUGCACACCUGGUCUGAUUGCUCUGAGCAUGGAGAUAAAUAUCAUGAAAACAACAGCAGCAAUUUGGGCCAGCGUCCAAACCCUGUAAUAAACCCCGAAUAACUACGCCCCUCCCCCCCCGACUCCCUCACCAAAGCGCUUCCAUCAGCCCCGCCCAGCGACUCCAUCUCCCACUCAGAAAUAACACCUGGCCUGGCUUUGGCUACCACUCCUAGAGCAUCUGCAGGGGAACGCAUCUCUGCAGGUUCCCGGCCACGCUCCUGAAGUGGGCUGGGAGCAUGUGCCUGCAGCAGGCCAAAGUGGGGAGGGUCACAUGCCUGCCUUGGCUUAUUGCCUGGCUCCUGGAGCAACUCACUCAGCCCAGACUCACACGCCCUCAUCUGCCUACAGCCAUAUACUUUACGGGGAGGUAGCCAACUCAGCUGAGGAGCAUCCUCCCUCAUGAGCAGGGUCCUGCCCCAGAUAAGCUGGGCUCACAUGUCUGCAGACUCCAAAAGGGGAAACCAUCCGAAUACCUCUCCACACUGCUUGGAGCUGAUUCAGGUCCCAAACUUCCUAUAUAGGUCAGUUACAUCAGGCAACAGGGAGCUUUUAGUACCCCCUAAACUGAGACCAGUUCUGAGGCCCUAAUCUCAGGCCAAGAAAAAUGUCCACUUUCAUGUUUGAACAUCUUCUGCUUCUAAUUAUCAUAAAAAACUCUGCUUUAUUUUGAAACUAACAUUUUUUGCAGGCUAGAAUGCAGGUUAUUUUUAUUAGUUAAUUAUGUAAGCAUUGUCUGUGUUUAUAGAACAUCUACAUCUUUUUGUAUUUUAAAUACUGCAUUUAUUAUACCUCAAAAGCAAGCACUGGAACGACAGAAUCUUUAAAUUCCAGGCUAGUAACUGAGCGGCAAGGACUUGGAUUUGCAAAGGAAAAGAAAAACCUCACGCUUGCUUCCAGAGCAAUUUGCAAACCCCUUAGAUCGCUUCAGUAACCUCUAUGCUCUGCCUUAUCAGAACCAUGCAGCUGCUGAUGGCAUUUGUUCUGUUUGGGUUACGGAGGCUGUUCUAAGCACAGAAAAUGUAACAGAAAUCGGAGCAGAUUCCUGAUUCAACAGAACAAAUUCUAAUUACUGGUCAGGACUGAAUUCUUGCUAACUCUGGGACUUGGCCCCUCCCCCUUUUAGGGCCAAGUUCCCCCUUGUAUUGGUGCAGGGGCUCCCACUGAGCUGCAUGAGAGGGAGCCACGGGGGAGCGCAUGGAGGCAGAAUCUGGCCCCUACCUGCAGAGAGGAGAUGCUGCUGAUUUCAUUCGGUCAUUGUGCCUGCUCCAGCAGGACAGGAAUUUUGCACUGUUUUGUGAAACCCUUUCCCUGUGUUUCGAGCAGCCCUGCUCAUCUGUCCAGGGGUGACUGUGCUGAUGGAUAGGGGCUCCCUUUAAGCAGGGUGACACCUCCCCUCUUCUUUCCCUGCGUCUCAGCAGAGCUGCACUGCCCACUGGGACGGAGAACCACUUCAUUUUGACCCUCUUAGCAAUGAGCCCACCCUCUGCCUUGAUGUUCUGAUCCCGCUCUGGAGUGCGGCCAGAGAGCUUGCAGCCCAGCCUCGGGCAUACGCGAGCUCCUCUCCCCAUGGUCCCUGAACGCAGUGCUCACUUCUCAGCCCACUUCUCUGUGGCCAGAUGCUGAGGUUUUUAUCAGCUCCUUCUCCCCAAGUCUUGUUUGCUCAGAGGCAUGCUCACUAUCAGUACAUGUCACCAGCUCGCCUCACGCCCAGAACAGUGAAUGACCCACGAGUUUCAAACCGAACAUAGUGACUGCUCAAUGACCGCCGAGCAGAGACACCCAGCUCCGCUCCCCGAAUGGAAAUCGUGCAAUGGUUUAUAUUAACCAGCCCUAUGCCGUGCAGACAGACGGCUUCAGUGCGGAGCUAGAGCCCGGGGCAUCUCAUCCCAGGGGGUGCUCCACGAGGCUCCGCUGGAUACCGGAGCGGUUUGAAUCGGGGCUUGGGGUACGUUGUGCUAGAACUCGACACCUCCUCUGUAUCCGCACCGGCAGUACCACUGCAAGCUUCCCAGCCCGCCUGCCCACUUCCACUGCGCCUCAGACCUCACCACCAGGGCCCACCUCUGGGGCCAAGAGGGGGAUCCCGUUUCUUGUGCAGGAGGCUGGACUGGAGGGGAUAUGCCCUGAUUCCACCCCCCUGCCCCAAGGCCCCGUCACCACCUCUUCUCCGCCUCCUCCCUGGAGCAGUUCGGGCGCUCUGGCUCCGCUUCUCGCCCUCCCUGGCAAGGGCCAUCCGCUGAUGGGCGGCCGGGAGGGAGGGGAGGAGGAGCGGCAGGACCCCAGCAGGCUGGGGGAAGAGGCAGGGGAGGGGGAACUUGCCUGCCCUGCAGCAGCAGCCGGCAGGACCAAGCUUCUUCACCAUGCCCGGGGGGGGCAGGGGAAGAGCGGCCAGGGCAGGCAGGAUUUUUAAUGGCUCGCUGCUGCCUGCCGGGACGGGGUCCGGCCUGGGUUCGGCAGCAGGCUGAGCGGGGCCAGCAGCUGGGACCCGGCCGGCCUCAGCGUGCCAUUAAACAUUGGCACGCGUGCCGUAGGUUGCCAACCCCUGGGAUAUAGCACAUCCCCUCGGUCUGCGCUGGCUCAGGAACAGAAUGGGGAUACCCCACUGAGAGCAAAAUCUCUCGUUUGCUGCAGGCCUGGGCUUGUCCUCUGUGGCUGCGGCCAGGGGGUGCUGCUGCCCCAGGUUCCCCAGGAGGAGCUCCCAAAGAGGUGGGAGCGGGCGACGAGACCGCGGAAGCAGGUGGAAUCCCUGGGUGCGGGCGCUGGAGGCUCAGGCUCCAGGACAGGACCCAGAUGGCUGAAUGGCAGCACCCAUUCUCUGGCCGCAUCGCCCUCUGCGCUGCCCAACUGGGGCUGCUUCAGGAAGCUCACCCUGCAUGUUUCCCCAGCUGAUCCGCCUGGCUUAGCAGCUGAAAAGGGGAGCUAAUUCCCAGCUCGGCCGGCAGCAUGGCGACCCUGCCGCGCCCUUCCGGAGAGAUGACAGCUUGCAUCCAGCCAGAUCUCACUCAUGCAAGAGAGGCACCGACACUGAGCUCCAGGGGCAGUGCCCUGGGCCGGCUCUGCUCCCAUGGGACACUGAGUCCCAGGCUCUCUGUAACAGGGAGACCGCUUUCCUGCCCCUUCCCUUUUCGGAGGGGGAAAUGCUACUUCUGUCCAAACGCGACAGCUGCGGAGGAGCACGUGGUUCGGACAGACCCAUCCCUUGGGGAGGGUUUAGUAAAGGGGAUGCUCUAUAUCCUAGUAAAGAGGAGAAGAUAGAAGUUGAUGAAGUACAGGUAGGAAUUGAAGAGAAACAGUCAAAGGAAGAGUCCUGUUCAAUGACAUCACACGAGGCAGACAACUAAAUAUUGACACCUUUUAGAAGUGCUUGGAUACAAAUGCAAGAAGUCUAAAUACUAAGACGGGUGAAUUUGAGUGUCUGGUAUUUAAUGAGGAUAUUGAUAUAACAGGCAUCACAGAAACUUGGUGGAACGAUGCUAAUCAAUGGGACACGGUAAUACCCAAGUACAAAAGACACAGAAGACACAGGAAUGACAGAGUAGGUUGUGCUGGAGGGGGACUGGCAUUAUAUAUGAAGGAAAGCAUAGAGUCAAAUAUAGUAAAAAAAAAAAAAAAAAAAAAGGGAAUCAAACC